ensembl:lncRNA
GGUUAGGGUUGUAAUUUUUCAGUAUUACAUGACAUCAUGAGUGUGUAUAUGCACACAGUUUGUUGUUUUCUGAGGGGGCGUCUGGCAGAGCGUUAGGACCCAGAAGCGGUGAAGCAAGAUGUCAGACGCAACAAGCAGAUAUUCUUAAGGGGGUCCUAUUAUGCUUUUUUACUUUUUGAAUUUUAGUCAGUGUGUAGUGUGUAUGUUUGGGCAUAAAAAAGAUCUACAAAGUUAUAAAUCUCAAAGUUGACUCCAAAGGGAGAUAUUUCAUUUAAAAAAAUCCCUUUUCAAGAACUACAAAAAAUGGCUAGUUUGAACUACAGUGUUGUUUUCCGGGGAUUGUGAUGUCACAAAGCAGCCCAUUAGAAUAUCAUUAAAAUAAAUCCCGCCUACGGAAAUGGUUGGUUGGUGGGGAGGGGUGAGGUCGUGGUUCAAACGCUGGGUUGAGUGGAUCAGACAAGACGACGACAAAGAAGUGCUGCUGUAGCGUCAGGUUUUGAGGGGAGUCAUGAGACAUUACCGUGCUGGUUUCACCAAAAGGCUUUUGCUGAAAGACGUAGCAGUUCCCCCAUUGUCAGGAAAAUCUGCUGUAUCUGCAUCACAGCCUGUAAGUGUAUUGCUUUAUUUGUUGUUGUGUGUGUUAUUUACAUUUCAAAGUAUAAGUUGAAUGCCGUUUCUGCGAUGUAAUACAUAUUACUGUUGCGCUUAUCUGAAUAUAGUAAAUGCGGUUGUUUUUAAUCAGUUUUUGACAUCCUAUCUAAAACGUGAUUUAGCAAAAAAAAUAACAAUAAUGUUACCACUCUAAUAUGUCUUGCAAUAUCUGUGCAUGCAAAGGUUCUGCGUGAUCUUCUUGUUUAAUAUUCUCAGGGUCUGAAUCCGGCUCAAAUUUAUAUGACAAUAUUGAUGCCAUCUUAACUAUACUGGAGCAGACAGAACUUGUUGCUUUGGCAAGGGGCGGGGCAGUACUGAAACACCGUCUGAGCUGUUCACCAAUCACUAUGCGCUGGGACAGCUAUCCAAUCAUAACACAUUUCGUUUUUCGGAAGGCGGGCCUUCAUCAAACCCAGAAGUAAUUGAGCCGUUUGUGCCAGGCUGGAGAGAAAGUACUCUUUCCACCACUGCUUCUGGGCUCAGUCCACAACAUACCAGGCUCUGGACAUCCAGGCAGCCAACGAACCCUCUUGCUGCUCUAAGCUUGGUACUGGUGGCCCAGUAUGUCCCAUGAUGUCAACCGGUACGUCCGCAACUGCUCAGUCUGUGCCAUGUCUUCCACUCCUCGUCAUCUUCCGAUGGGCAAACUCGUGCCCAUUCC